AGCUUCCGAAAGUUUCUCAGCCUUCACCUUCUUCUUCUUUCAUUUACGGAGGUGCGAAAACAGCGUGUUCUUAAUUGCAGAGAAAUUUGAUGGUGAAAUUCGUGCAGGUGCUCCAGCAAGAUCUUUGCAAGAGGCUGGAAUAAAGUACCGUUUACUGGUGACAGCACCCCAGUACAUACAGACACUGGAACGAAUGUGAAAAGGAACAUAAAUAUAAUUUUAAUGGAUGCCAUGGAAAAUAUAUUUUUUGCCGGAUUGUGGAUGGAAGCGUAAAGUACCGCUAACUUGGAGCAGCUUAAAAAAUAUAUUUUAUGAAAAAACAUUACAAUGGGAUUAUACAUAUACACACAGAAAUAUUUAAUGAACCAACGGAAUAACAGUCACUGUGUAGGGUCAAAGGGGAAAGGUUAGUGGGCACUUACACUUCACGUCCAAGUAGACCUCGUUGCUGGAGACGCUGCCCUGCAGGUUGCUGGCCCUGCAGAAGUACUGGCCGUGCGAGGACUUGGAGAUGCCCUGCAGGACGAGGGUCUGGUUCGAGAUGAUGAUGCCGCGCGAGGAAUGCAGUUGCUUGUCCUGCGGAGCAAACAAAGUCAAGCACACAUUGGUUAGAUAGUAAUUGAUUAUUGAUUUUCGUAUUAAGAACUCAAUUGGAUUAAUAAAUUGGAGAAACUCA